UACGUAGGGUGCGAGCGUAAUCGGAAUUACUGGGCGUAAAGCGUGCGCAGGCGGUUUUGUAAGCCAGAUGUGAAAUCCCCGGGCUUAACCUGGGAAUGGCAUUUGGGACUGCAAGGCUCGAGUGCGGCAGAGGAGACUGGAAUUCCUGGUGUAGCAGUGAAAUGCGUAGAUAUCAGGAGGAACACCGAUGGCGAAGGCAGGUCUCUGGGCUGACACUGACGCUCAUGCACGAAAGCGUGGGGAGCAAACAGG
rnacentral:rRNA from 1 species